CACCGAAGGAGGAAAGCAGAUUUUUUUUGUUUUUUUGGGUCUAGCUGCCUUUCUGCAUGCAUUUAGGUCACUAUAUGAAGCUAUGAAACUAUUAUGGUACUAUUUUUGUGCCCCCAUAUAAUGGCUAUGUCCAUUUGAAGUGAUACAGGGUUACUUAAACCUGUAUUCUUUUCUAAUGCGGUGCUGCCAUGGCUACUCUGUGUGGGGGAGCUUCAAGCAAAUGUAAAAUCUUUGUAUCCUGACUCUGAAACUGCAGAUGUGGUAAAACCUCAGCAGGCCUCAGGUUACCAGUCCAACCUUCAGCUCCAGCUUCUCAACUACCGGCCCUGGUCAGAUUUCCAGAUUCCUAAUUAUCAGUCCUGGUUGCGUUCUGAGGUUCCCACCUAUAAGCCUCGGUCAAAUUAUCAGAUGCCCAGCUAUAAACCUUGGUCACAUUACCAGAUUCCCAACUAUAGGCCUUGGUCACAUUACCAGAUUCCCAACUACAAGCCUAGGUCACAACACCGGGUUCCCAACUACCAGGCUUCGUUGCCGUCCCAGGCUUCCAGGUAUCAGGUUUGGCCUCGGUCCCUGGUCCUGCCCACCAAUACCAGGUUGAAUUACAGGAUCAGGCCUUCCAAAGCAGUACUCUGCCUCAAAGUCAGGGCACACAGAGAAAGCCUCAGACUUGGAGGCAAGUACAGAAUUCCCAGCACAGGUUUCCGACACGUACCCAGAGGCAGGGCUCCCAGGAUAUCCUUCAGACUCAGCCUCAAAGCAGAACGUGGCCUUAUCCUAGGGGCAGGGCUUUUCCCAUAGACAACCAUCAAGCUUGGAAAUAGGCUUAAUUAGAACACAUGAGGAUGCUCAAGAUAUGUCAGAAAAUGCAUCUUUAACUACUUGGACCCAAUUAAAAUGAUCUUUGUAAAAAUAGUAAUAAAAAACUUCUAUUUGUUUCUUGCUGUGAAGCAAAUCUCUAUAGUUCAGUCCUGGAAUUGAGAACUUAUGUACAUGCUGUGCUGAAGUCUUGUCUCAGAGGCCAAACUGCUGAUGCACUUUACAAGCUUGCACCUACUACAGACACGUGUAUCUGCUCAAGUAGGAUGACUGUCUUGACUCCAUACAGUGAAGGAAGAUGGAGAGUGUGGUAUUGGGUGGGGUUGCUCUAUGUUGGGAUGGAGCACUGCUUAGCAUAUUUUAUUUUGGGUAUCGUGGCUUUCCCCUGCCACUUGACAAAAUGGAAAAGUCUGCCCUGCAACUGUCCUGCAAGGUUUUAAAAAGGUGUUUGUUUUGUUGUUGUUUCUCAGAUUUUGGGUAUUUAAAGGAGACCUGUUAUUCUUCCCAACUCUAAGUUGUUUUGGACUGGUGUGGCUCUUUAGCUUAUCCUCUUCUUGAAACAAGCUAAACUAGGAGAGGGUAGAACACAGAAAAUACAUGAAUGGAGAAACUCGAGUUCUCACAGACGAUUACGAGUACUGCUGUGAAACUCUGCUUGGGUUUAAUUUUCAACUAGUUCAAUGGUGAGUCGCCAGUCAACGGACAACUGUUUGAGCCCCAAUGUCAGUGGGUGGCCCCUGAAGACUUAACACAAGAGUACCAUAGUAGAGACCUGACCUCUCUAAGUGGAGCCCACCUCCCUCCUUGUAAGCAGUAUUCAUGAUUUUGUUCAAGCAAACCCAAUUUCAAGGCCAAGAGAAGAAAUAAAAGCAAGACAUGAAGUGGAGCAUAUAAUUAAAUAUAAUCCUAAAUGCAGCUAAUUUGGCGUUAAAUAUGGGGAAGAGACAACUGAAUAACAUCAACACUAUUUUAUUUACUUUGAUCUUUAACAUUAGCUUGCAGUCAAGCAAGCAGCUGUGAAGCAACAUGCAAGAAAAAUGUGGCUCUGAAAAAUCUUGUAGUUGUACAUUUGACUCACUUGCAGUCAAAAGCAUUAAAGACCAAAAGUAAAACCUCUACAGUGUAUCCACUGCUAUAGAUUCUGCAGUAAAAGCCUGCCAGUUUGAAAAAUUGAAAAUUCAGAUGGCUAAGGAAGUUUUCAACUUAAUGUGCGUCUCCAGAGGAACUUUGGCUCUUGUAUCCCUGUUUUGGAAGAUUUUUUUUUUUCCUGUUGUGCUGUAAGUGGAGAAUGACUAGAUCACAAAUGAGGCCCAUCCAAAACCUCUGAGAUGAGUUUGUCCAAUGGAUUUGUCAGUAUGCUGGAGAAGGUCAUGUGACAUAAGGAUCAUGGCAGGAUAAAUAUUAUGGUGGAUUAUUUAAGAUGAUUAUGAAAAAACAUGUUUGUAUAUGUAACGUGAAUAAAAGGGCAAAA